UACGUAGGGUGCGAGCGUUAAUCGGAAUUACUGGGCGUAAAGCGUGCGCAGGCGGUGAUGUAAGACCGAUGUGAAAUCCCCGGGCUUAACCUGGGAACUGCAUUGGUGACUGCAUUGCUGGAGUAUGGCAGAGGGGGGUGGAAUUCCACGUGCAGCAGUGAAAUGCGUAGAGAUGUGGAGGAACACCGAUGGCGAAGGCAGCCCCCUGGGCCAAUACUGACGCUCAUGCACGAAAGCGUGGGGAGCAAACAGG
rnacentral:rRNA from 1 species